CCAUAGCUCAGUUGGUAGAGCAUGAGACUAAGGUCGUGGGUUCAAGUCUCAUGUUGUGUGAAAGA